rnacentral:misc_RNA from 1 species
AACGCACAUUGCGCCCGCCAGUAUUCUGGCGGGCAUGCCUGUUCGAGCGUCAUUUCAACCCUCAAGCCCAGCUUGGUGUUGGGGAUCGGCACAAGGGAGCCCCCGGGCGCCCCGCCGUCCCCUAAAUCUAGUGGCGGUCCCGCUGCAGCCACCUCUGCGUAGUAGUUUUCUCCUCGCAAGGGCAGCUCGGCGGCGACCUCGCCGUAAAACCCCCAACUUCUGAAAGUUUGACCUCGAAUCAGGUAGGAAUACCCGCUGAACUUAA